CCUACGGGAGGCAGCAGUGAGGAAUAUUGGUCAAUGGGCGCAAGCCUGAACCAGCCAAGUAGCGUGAAGGAUGAAAGCCCUAUGGGUUGUAAACUUCUGUUAUAUGGGAAUAAAGUGCAGUAUGUAUACCGCUUUGCAUGUACCUUAUGAAUAAGGAUCGGCUAACUCCGUGCCAGCAGCCGCGGUAAUACGGAGGAUCCGAGCGUUAUCCGGAUUUAUUGGGUUUAAAGGGAGCGUAGGCGGGUUGUUAAGUCAGUUGUGAAAGUUUGCGGCUCAACCGUAAAAUUGCAGUUGAUCCUGGCAUCCUUGAGUACAGUAGAGGUAGGCGGAAUUCGUGGUGUAGCGGUGAAAUGCAUAGCUAUCACGCAGAACACCGAUUGCGAAGGCAUCUCACGAAACC
rnacentral:rRNA from 1 species